AUUGAACGCUGGCGGCAUGCCUUACACAUGCAAGUCGAACGGUAACGGGCCUUCGGGUGCCGACGAGUGGCGAACGGGUGCGUAAUACAUCGGAACGUGCCCGAUCGUGGGGGAUAACGAGGCGAAAGCUUUGCUAAUACCGCAUACGAUCUACGGAUGAAAGCAGGGGACCGCAAGGCCUUGCGCGGACGGAGCGGCCGAUGGCAGAUUAGGUAGUUGGUGGGAUAAAAGCUUACCAAGCCGACGAUCUGUAGCUGGUCUGGGAGGAUGAUCAGCCACACUGGGACUGAGACACGGCCCAGACUCCUACGGGAGGCAGCAGUGGGGAAUUUUGGACAAUGGGCGCAAGCCUGAUCCAGCCAUGCCGCGUGCAGGAUGAAGGCCUUCGGGUUGUAAACUGCUUUUGUACGGAACGAAAAGCCUUCUUUUAAUACAGGAGGGUCAUGACGGUACCGUAAGAAUAAGCACCGGCUAACUACGUG
rnacentral:rRNA from 1 species